GAGACACUAAUAAGCUACUACUAAGGACCAGAAGACAUCACCAAGACCAAGAGGCAAACAAUCAGCAUUUUCCAACUCUUAGAAGUACUUUUGCUUUUACUGUCAACUCAGGUAAAGGAUGAAGAUCCAGAGUGUGAUACUGCUGUUCGCUUUAGUGGGUGUGCUGUUAGCAAGCUCACUAAAUAAAGCUAUAUCGGAGGAAGCUCUUGUGCAAGAGAAUGACCUAAAACCUGUCAUGUCAAAUGAGGCAGUGGCAAAGUUGGUUGAUGCUCUGAAAGCUGUCCAGGUUGCUGAAGAUGAAGCACCAUUCUUUGAAAGUGUAAUGGGUGCACUCAGAAGCUUUCUCGGUUAGAAGUAACCACAAUGAAACUGCUGAAGAACCUCUCCAUACCUGGACAUCAUUACUAUCUUUGCUUUAGUCAAUUAAUGAAUAAUCCAUUCAUCACCUCUUGGGUCUGGCAACACUAACCUUAUUUCAAUCAAUCAUUUUAACAUCCUUCUAUUACCAAUUGACUAACUUAGUAAAAAAAAAAAAUACUGUUAUAUUUAAGACUGUUAAUAAAACUGUUAUAUGUUUUAUUCAAAGCUAUUUUCUAAAUUUACUAAUAAGUGGCAGAUGAUUGUUAAAGUUAGUGGACAAAAUCAUGUUGAGUUUGGCAAUAUUGUAUGGUUAACAAGAUGUUCUUCCUUAAAUAAACUAUCAAGCAUUACACAUGUU